UGGAACUAUCCAGCAUGUAACGUGGACUGGAAUUCUGUUGGCUGGAAGCCACUCUGUACCUCCUUUAAACACAGCACAAGAGUCAGUGUGGAUGCAAACAAGAGAGGCAAUCUGUACCUCAGGUUGGAAAACACCCCAAACAGCUCUCAGCACACUCCAAACUACUCCCCUGUCUCUUAUCAUUCUUUUCUUAAACCAAGAAUUUGCUGUUUGGAGGAGAAAGGAGAGGCUACUGUGAUUACUGAGGCAGGUUUGUUUUGGCUGCUAGCCAAGCUCUCAGUUUCUGGAAUUGUCAGAUUUUUUACAGCUCCUUCUGUCCCUGAGAAGGUGUUACAGCAAUGCUCUAUCAGGUCAUACCACUUCCUAACUGAGGAGCUCUGGGCCACCCCAUCAGGGGGGAGGGUCCCAUGGUGGUUGUCUUCAAUGCCUUCAGUUUCUGAGAAGGUUUUUGAGUUUUCUCUGGGGUAAUUUGCAAAUUAAGGUUUUCCAAAUGGGAGAUUAUUUCUUGUUCAGUAUCCCCCACUACUUCUAUUUUGCCUCCUCCCACAGGAAAACCAUUAAUAUAUUGAUAAACAGCCACGUUGUCAGGUUUGGGUUUCUGGACUGGCCAUAUAGGAGAGUUGAAAGGAAGAUGUUUUAUUGUUUUUGUUGAAUUAUUGUUUCUUGGUUUUGCAAAUCCUGUAUAACAGGUUUGAUCUCUUCUUUGGCACCAGAGAGAAGAGGGCAUCGUUUUACAUUUACAGGUGAUGGCACAGGUGAUUUAUAGCCAGUAAUGAAUUUUAUUUCAAGCAUAAUUUGCAAGCAGGCAGCUUUGUCAAAGUUUUCUAUGAGUUUUUCGGGGGUACUAAUUAAAUCUACAGGGUCUCCCCUUUCCAAGGGGUUGAGCUGCCCUGCCCUAUAAGCUGCACUCUGAGUUAGGGACCAUGAGUUGUGUUUGUCUCCCAUUGUUAAGAAAACCCCAUGUCCCCAGUACCCCUAGUUACUUGUUCUGAUAAUUCAGUAGCAGCAUACAGGAUUUCUUUAGUGGUUACUUGUGGGUCAAAAUCCUCAUCAUUGAUGUAACUGAAUUCUGGUUUAAUUACGGGUUUCAAGCUAGGCCAGCAAUGUUCCCCACAAUUUCUCAUCAGAGUUAGUUCUUUUUGAGGAUUUGAGUAAUUUCCUUCUCCUCUGUUUCUAUUGGUGAGUUAGUGUGUUUUAAUGUUUGGGGAUGUUCUAGUCUUAGAGAGGCUCUUAAAAAAUUAUUUUCAUCCCUUAAAACAUGAUUCUUACUCCUUUCUUAAUCUAUUUUUUUUUGUAAUAUUUCCACUAGAUUUUGUAAGGAGUCAAUAGCAGUUUGUUCCUUGUUAGUUUUUUUAGGUGUUUGUUUUUUUGUUUAAGGAGGGUUUCUACAGCAGCAGUGAGACAGGCCCCUAAAACUGAGCAAUGGAUGGUUUUAUUCCUGCCCAAUUUCAGUUUUGUAUUAUGUUGUAAAGAGUUUAGUCCAUAAAUCACGUUUUCUAAAUUGAACCAGUUGUUGUAUGUCCAUUCUUCCCCCCCUUUAGAUGGUUUGGAAUUGUAUUUAGCUAGCAAAGCAUAAAAUGCAGCUUUAUCUUCUGUACUAUGAUUUUCAGUCAUUUUAUAAGUUAGAGAAGUAGGACUACUAUAGGAAAACUAGUAACUUAAAUCACACGCACGGCCUUAACUAUCCUGGAGAAAAAGAAAAGAAGCAGAAAUUACACACACAUACAAGUUAUGCAGGAAGCACACUUUCCUGAAGCAAAGUCAAUACAAAACAUAUAAAAACAGGAAAAACUUGCACCACUUAAACCCUCACCCUGAGUGGAAUAGUUAGUGCAGCACCCUUCCUGACUUCAAGGAAGGCUCAGAGACAAUACAAACACAGCUAAAUGCUCACGCUGAGUCGAAUAGCCUGCACAGCACCCUUCCUAACUUCACGGAAGGCCAAAAUCUGCAGAGCAGAGGCACAUGAGGAACUUCCGUGUCCGUGUGCAGCUGGAGUGCACCUGCAUGAAGGAGCAGCAGGCUGAGAACAUGCUGUGCUGCCUGCACCAUCCUGAGGAGAGGCUGAGGAAAAACACUACAUUGAUUCAUCCAUCAGCAACACUGAGAGAACCGCCAGCAGGG
ensembl:lncRNA